rnacentral:pre_miRNA from 1 species
CUUGCACUCCCUCCGUCCGAAAAUACUUGUCAUUGAAAUGGAUGUAUCUAGAUGUAUUUUAGUUCUAGACACAUCCAUUUUGAUGACAAGUAAUUCCGGACAGAGGGAGUACUUG